CAGGAGGUGAAAAGCCAAGCCCUUGAAUCCCCGGAGCACAGAGACGUCCGCUUGGCCAAAGGAGAGCCCAUGGUCCCUUCCAUCUGACAGCUGUUGAGAGAUUUGUGGGAUGAGGGAGCCCCCCAGAGGCCUCGUUCUAGAACUGCAGCAAAUCCCAAAUUUCAGAGAAAGCCUUUAGAACUGCAGCAAAGGGAUCAUUUGAGACAAGCCCUCCUGGCCUAUGGAUGAGGAAACUGAGGCACAAAGAGGGGCAGUCCAUGGCCAGGACACACAGCAAGCUAGGAACUGCACAUUCACAGAUGUCCCUUUAUUCUCCUGUGGUUGGAUUGAGCCAUCUAGAGAAUUUGCUAAGGAGGGAAAACAGGAGGCUAGGGCAGAGGCCACGGCUCUGCUCUCCUCAGAGAGAGCCCCAACCUCUCUGCUGACCUCCAGCCUCCCAUCUCCAACUGCCUUCCAGACAUCUCAGACUGGGUGUCCAGUAGACUGAUGGAUGGAUAGUAGGUGAGGAGGCACUGGACCCCCUGAACAGCCACUUCAUGAUGGACAGAGAGAUCUGGACCUGGCCUCCCCCCAGCUCUUACAGUGUGUAAUUUGGGCAGCUCAGGCCCAAUGGGAAAGGGUAUGACAUUCAGUUGCUACCAAAAAAAGUGUGUUUUCCUUCCAGGGGCAUCCAAGCCCUCAGAGGGUCUCAGAGGUGCUCACUGGACUUGCUGACUGUGAGUGCCUUGUGUUGUCUGCAUCUGCUCCAGGCCCUGAGAAUCCUUUACGUCUUCUGGGUUUGUUUUUUUUUUUUUUUUGGGGGGGGGACAGGAGGAACAAAGCCUGUCCUGUAUUUGUUAUGAAUCAUUACUUUGAAGGUUUGUGUGGGUCCCAUCUGUGGACAAGGAGCUGCCUGGGAGCUAUGUUCCAGGUUGCCCCUGAGCCACUCUGGCUGGGGGCAGAACUCCCAAAGACACUCCCUGUCUUCACUCACCUUGUCUGGGGGCUGACACCUUUUAUGGGGCUCUUCUCUGUACAUUGGCCAGGGUCAGCCUGUCUCUAACCCCCAGGAUUUGUGACCCUUUUCAUUCCCAGGGAAGACAUCCCAGCACCCUUCCCCCAAGAUUCAUCUUGGCCUGGGGCCAUCUUUGUUCUGCCUCUCCUCCCCACCUAAGUCUGCUGUAUCCUAGAUCUUAGCCAGGAAAGUAGCAGAAUCAUCCAGGGCUUAAGGUCUUGGUCCCAGGAGUGUGGCCUCUGCUACUGGUCUCUAAGCCACACCAAGUAUCAAAGGAACAGUGGAACCAUCUCUGGAUGGGAAGGGCCCUCAGAGACUGGCUUGUCCAACCCUCUCAUUUUACAGAGGGGGAAACUGAGGCCUGGGCAGAGGAAGUGUCACAGCACUGGGAAAGACUCCAAAGGUGAGGAGAUGGUGACAACUGGUCAAGAGAAGGAAGAAUAGAAACACACAGAAACACAUUUCACUCAACAGGGAAAUAGGAGGGAAUGGAGUGAAGGGUGA
rnacentral:lncRNA from 1 species